UACGUAGGUGGCAAGCGUUGUCCGGAAUUAUUGGGCGUAAAGCGCGCGCAGGCGGUCCUUUAAGUCUGAUGUGAAAGCCCACGGCUCAACCGUGGAGGGUCAUUGGAAACUGGGGGACUUGAGUACAGAAGAGAAGAGUGGAAUUCCACGUGUAGCGGUGAAAUGCGUAGAGAUGUGGAGGAACACCAGUGGCGAAGGCGACUUACUGGACUGUAACUGACGCUGAGGCAUGAAAGCGUGGGGAGCAAACAGG
rnacentral:rRNA from 1 species